rnacentral:lncRNA from 1 species
CACUGGUUUUGUGUGAUGUUGCUUGCAAAUCGGAGCUGCCAAGUUCUACUUCAUGUAUAUCUGUAUCUGCUGAAAGGUAGGCUUGUGUAAGAUACCAUGCUGAGCACUUCAUUUGAAGCCCACUGCUUGGAAAGAUCUGGGAACAGUAUGCUGCUUACCCAGAUGAUGUCACUGGUGAAGUCUUGUUCAAACAUCAAAUUGUGCCUGCCAAGGGUAAGGACUUUCUAAAUGCUGAGGCAGGCUUUAUCUGUAACAUGACAUGCAUAGAAACGGUAAAAAGGUCAAGGAAAUUCUGUCAUUAGUGAAGUCCUUAACUAACAACAGAGAGUUGAUUUUAGGUAUGCUCAUUAACAUCUAAGGCUUAGCACUGCCUUUGAUCACUGGCUUUCAAUACAGGUUGCUUGUUCUGUGGUUGCCUUUACCCACAGUGGGGAGUGCUCUACCACAUAGCAGAGGCGGGUGCUCACUGGGG